rnacentral:piRNA from 1 species
UGGGUGUGUAGAGGCACACAGUGUGGUACA